AGGUUCGAUUCUGGCUCAGGAUGAACGCUAGCGGCAGGCUUAACACAUGCAAGUCGAGGGGCAACGCGAGUAGCAAUACUUGGCGGCGACCGGCGCAAGGGUGCGUAGCGCGUGAGCAACGUGCCCGUAUCAGGGGGAUAAUCCAGGGAAACUUGGUCUAAUACCCCAUAGUAAUUUUUGUAAGGCAUCUUAUAAGAUUUAAAGCUUUGGUGGAUACGGAUUGGCUCGCGUGACAUUAGCUGGAUGGUAAGGUAACGGCUUACCAUGGCUAUGAUGUCUAGGGGUUCUGAGAGGAAGGUCCCCCACACUGGAACUGAGACACGGUCCAGACUCCUACGGGAGGCAGCAGUGAGGAAUAUUGGACAAUGGAUGGAAAUCUGAUCCAGCCAUGCCGCGUGAAGGAAGAAGGUCCUAUGGAUUGUAAACUUCUUUUGUAUGGGAGCAAUAAGGCCUACGAGUAGGUUGAUGAGAGUACCAUACGAAUAAGCACCGGCUAACUCCGUGCCAGCAGCCGC
rnacentral:rRNA from 1 species